GAGGAAUUGUAUUAAUGUAUACAAACUAUAAUGAUAAAGCAAAAUUAAGUUCACUUGUACACAGUUUAUGAAUCAAACUCAAGUGGGACUUAAACCCACCCAGCAGAAUAUCAACCAACAAGAUAAACACCAGGCCAGUUCAUUACAAACACAAGGAUCAGGUGGUUAGAACAUGAUACACAAUCUUGCUCUUGCUUCUAACAUUCUACUAACACCAUAAAAUGACAACAUGAGCUGAAAAAGUUAAUAAAUUUAUAUUGCUUCAGAAAUGUUGUUCAGAUGAAAAUCAGAUGACAACUUUAACUGACAAAGUUUAUGACACUGUUAUACGCUAACAUAUAAAGUGGAUUAUCUUAUACACUACACUAAUGUAUAAAUGCGGAUAAGAACAGGAAAUGUUCACAUGAAUGGGAUCCCAAAACUGGUAAUUGGCAAUUUUCUUGAACUGUUUUUACUUGCUUUAUAAUAAGGUGAUUUCAUUUUUUAAAAUCUUAUCUCAAAUGGAUUUUAAGUAUAAGAUGUUAAAUCUUUUGCUGGGCUAUGCUUCUAAAGGACAUUUUCUGCUAGGGAAGCAAUUUGGGAGGUUAUAGAAAAUUGAAAGUGCCGAAAAGUGGGAAAAUCAUGGUCAGUAGAUGCUUUCUUUUGCAAGAGAUCUGCUGAAUGAGCGAACCAUUUCCUUAUCUAUUGCAUUGCACAUAUGACAUGCAGAGUAGAAAGUUGAGGGAACUAGCUUAAAUGUUCAUGGGAAUUUCCUCAGUUGCUGCAAGACCAAUAAAGGUUAAGUUAGGGUAGGGAAUAGGAAAUGCCUUCUCCAUCCUCGAAGAUAGUUGGUUUUUGUUUUUACAUUUUUGGCCUACAUGUGAAUCCACUGAAAAAGAUUGAACCAUUAUCAAAUGCAUGAGGUGCAAACAAACGAGCUUAAGUAUCUUUUGCACGUGCAGUUAAUGAGGCCUUCCUAUUAAUAUGACUGCCUGAUAAAAUUCAAUUAACUUGCCAAUGAAGGAGGCUUCAGAAAUACAUAAAGC
rnacentral:misc_RNA from 1 species